rnacentral:rRNA from 1 species
AGUGAACGCUGGCGGUAGGCCUAACACAUGCAAGUCGAACGGCAGCACAGUAAGAGCUUGCUCUUACGGGUGGCGAGUGGCGGACGGGUGAGGAAUACAUCGGAAUCUACUUUUUCGUGGGGGAUAACGUAGGGAAACUUACGCUAAUACCGCAUACGACCUACGGGUGAAAGCAGGGGAUCUUCGGACCUUGCGCGAUUGAAUGAGCCGAUGUCGGAUUAGCUAGUUGGCGGGGUAAAGGCCCACCAAGGCGACGAUCCGUAGCUGGUCUGAGAGGAUGAUCGGCCACACUGGAACUGAGACACGGUCCAGACUCCUACGGGAGGCAGCAGUGGGGAAUAUUGGACAAUGGGCGCAAGCCUGAUCCAGCCAUACCACGUGGGUGAAGAAGGCCUUCGGGUUGUAAAGCCCUUUUGUUGGGAAAGAAAAGCAGCAGGUUAAUACCCCGCUGUUCUGACGGUACCCAAAGAAUAAGCACCGGCUAACUUCGUG